GUAACAGGUUAAGCUGACGAGUGGCGAACGGGUGAGUAAUGUAUCGGAACGUGCCCAGUCGUGGGGGAUAACUGCUCGAAAGAGCAGCUAAUACCGCAUACGACCUGAGGGUGAAAGCGGGGGAUCGCAAGACCUCGCGCGAUUGGAGCGGCCGAUAUCAGAUUAGGUAGUUGGUGAGGUAAAGGCUCACCAAGCCGACGAUCUGUAGCUGGUCUGAGAGGACGACCAGCCACACUGGGACUGAGACACGGCCCAGACUCCUACGGGAGGCAGCAGUGGGGAAUUUUGGACAAUGGGCGCAAGCCUGAUCCAGCCAUGCCGCGUGCGGGAAGAAGGCCUUCGGGUUGUAAACCGCUUUUGUCAGGGAAGAAAAGGUUCUGGCUAAUACCUGGGACUCAUGACGGUACCUGAAGAAUAAGCACCGGCUAACUACGUGCCAGCAGCCGCGGUAAUACGUAGGGUGCAAGCGUUAAUCGGAAUUACUGGGCGUAAAGCGUGCGCAGGCGGUUAUGCAAGACAGAGGUGAAAUCCCCGGGCUCAACCUGGGAACUGCCUUUGUGACUGCAUGGCUAGAGUACGGUAGAGGGGGAUGGAAUUCCGCGUGUA
rnacentral:rRNA from 1 species